CCUACGGUGCGCAGCAGUCGAGAAUCAUUCACAAUGGGGGAAACCCUGAUGGUGCGACGCCGCGUGGGGGAAUGAAGGUCUUCGGAUUGUAAACCCCUGUCAUGUGGGAGCAAAUUAAAAAGAUAGUACCACAAGAGGAAGAGACGGCUAACUCUGUGCCAGCAGCCGCGGUAAUACAGAGGUCUCAAGCGUUGUUCGGAAUCACUGGGCGUAAAGCGUGCGUAGGCUGUUUCGUAAGUCGUGUGUGAAAGGCGCGGGCUCAACCCGCGGACGGCACAUGAUACUGCGAGACUAGAGUAAUGGAGGGGGAACCGGAAUUCUCGGUGUAGCAGUGAAAUGCGUAGAUCUCGAGAGGAACACUCGUGGCGAAGGCGGGUUCCUGGACAUUAACUGACGCUGAGGCACGAAGGCCAGGGGAGCGAAAGGGAUUAGAUACCCCAGUAGUC
rnacentral:rRNA from 1 species